rnacentral:rRNA from 1 species
AGUGAACGCUGGCGGUAGGCCUAACACAUGCAAGUCGAACGGCAGCACAGUAAGAGCUUGCUCUUACGGGUGGCGAGUGGCGGACGGGUGAGGAAUACAUCGGAAUCUACUUUUUCGUGGGGGAUAACGUAGGGAAACUUACGCUAAUACCGCAUACGACCUACGGGUGAAAGCAGGGGAUCUUCGGACCUUGCGCGAUUGAAUGAGCCGAUGUCGGAUUAGCCAGUUGGCGGGGUAAAGGCCCACCAAGGCGACGAUCCGUAGCUGGUCUGAGAGGAUGAUCAGCCACACUGGAACUGAGACACGGUCCAGACUCCUACGGGAGGCAGCAGUGGGGAAUAUUGGACAAUGGGCGCAAGCCUGAUCCAGCCAUACUGCGUGGGUGAAGAAGGCCUUCGGGUUGUAAAGCCCUUUUGUUGGGAAAGAAAAGCAGCAGGUUAAUACCCCGCUGUUCUGACGGUACCCAAAGAAUAAGCACCGGCUAACUUCGUG